rnacentral:rRNA from 1 species
AGUGAACGCUGGCGGUAGGCCUAACACAUGCAAGUCGAACGGCAGCACAGUAAGAGCUUGCUCUUACGGGUGGCGAGUGGCGGACGGGUGAGGAAUACAUCGGAAUCUACUUUUUCGUGGGGGAUAACGUAGGGAAACUUACACUAAUACCGCAUACGACCUACGGGUGAAAGCAGGGGAUCUUCGGACCUUGCGCGAUUGAAUGAGCCGAUGUCGGAUUAGCUAGUUGGCGGGGUAAAGGCCCACCAAGGCGACGAUCCGUAGCUGGUCUGAGAGGAUGAUCAGCCACACUGGAACUGAGACACGGUCCAGACUCCUACGGGAGGCAGCAGUGGGGAAUAUUGGACAAUGGGCGCAAGCCUGAUCCAGCCAUACCGCGUGGGUGAAGAAGGCCUUCGGGUUGUAAAGCCCUUUUGUUGGGAAAGAAAAGCAGCAGGUUAAUACCCCGCUGUUCUGACGGUGCCCAAAGAAUAAGCACCGGCUAACUUCGUG